rnacentral:ribozyme from 1 species
GCUGCCUUACAGGAACAGCCUCCACGCGGCAGGCAGCGGGCAACGCAAACGCGGCCAAUCGUUCCA